rnacentral:rRNA from 1 species
UGGCUCAGAUUGAACGCUGGCGGCAGGCCUAACACAUGCAAGUCGAGCGGUAGCACAGAGAGCUUGCUCUCGGGUGACGAGCGGCGGACGGGUGAGUAAUGUCUGGGAAACUGCCUGAUGGAGGGGGAUAACUACUGGAAACGGUAGCUAAUACCGCAUAACGUCGCAAGACCAAAGUGGGGGACCUUCGGGCCUCAUGCCAUCAGAUGUGCCCAGAUGGGAUUAGCUAGUAGGUGGGGUAACGGCUCACCUAGGCGACGAUCCCUAGCUGGUCUGAGAGGAUGACCAGCCACACUGGAACUGAGACACGGUCCAGACUCCUACGGGAGGCAGCAGUGGGGAAUAUUGCACAAUGGGCGCAAGCCUGAUGCAGCCAUGCCGCGUGUGUGAAGAAGGCCUUCGGGUUGUAAAGCACUUUCAGCGGGGAGGAAGGCGGUGAGGUUAAUAACCUUGUCGAUUGACGUUACCCGCAGAAGAAGCACCGGCUAACUCCGUGCCAGCAGCCGCGGUAAUACGGAGGGUGCAAGCGUUAAUCGGAAUUACUGGGCGUAAAGCGCACGCAGGCGGUCUGUCAAGUCGGAUGUGAAAUCCCCGGGCUCAACCUGGGAACUGCAUUCGAAACUGGCAGGCUAGAGUCUUGUAGAGGGGGGUAGAAUUCCAGGUGUAGCGGUGAAAUGCGUAGAGAUCUGGAGGAAUACCGGUGGCGAAGGCGGCCCCCUGGACAAAGACUGACGCUCAGGUGCGAAAGCGUGGGGAGCAAACAGGAUUAGAUACCCUGGUAGUCCACGCUGUAAACGAUGUCGAUUUGGAGGUUGUGCCCUUGAGGCGUGGCUUCCGGAGCUAACGCGUUAAAUCGACCGCCUGGGGAGUACGGCCGCAAGGUUAAAACUCAAAUGAAUUGACGGGGGCCCGCACAAGCGGUGGAGCAUGUGGUUUAAUUCGAUGCAACGCGAAGAACCUUACCUGGUCUUGACAUCCACAGAACUUUCCAGAGAUGGAUUGGUGCCUUCGGGAACUGUGAGACAGGUGCUGCAUGGCUGUCGUCAGCUCGUGUUGUGAAAUGUUGGGUUAAGUCCCGCAACGAGCGCAACCCUUAUCCUUUGUUGCCAGCGGUUCGGCCGGGAACUCAAAGGAGACUGCCAGUGAUAAACUGGAGGAAGGUGGGGAUGACGUCAAGUCAUCAUGGCCCUUACGACCAGGGCUACACACGUGCUACAAUGGCAUAUACAAAGAGAAGCGACCUCGCGAGAGCAAGCGGACCUCAUAAAGUAUGUCGUAGUCCGGAUUGGAGUCUGCAACUCGACUCCAUGAAGUCGGAAUCGCUAGUAAUCGUAGAUCAGAAUGCUACGGUGAAUACGUUCCCGGGCCUUGUACACACCGCCCGUCACACCAUGGGAGUGGGUUGCAAAAGAAGUAGGUAGCUUAACCUUCGGGAGGGCGCUUACCACUUUGUGAUUCAUGACUGGGGU